GGGUCAUGGAAUCUGGAGACUGGAGAGGGGAAAGGAAAAUGGAAUUCCAUCAUAUCGGUGAAAUGCGUAGAGAUAUGGAGGAACACCAGUGGGGAAGGUGACUUUCUGGUCUGUAACUGACAUUGAGCCCGAAAGCGGGGGGAGCAAACAGGAUUAGAUACCCUUUAGUCCCCUCCCUGAACGAUAAGACGUGUGGUUUUGGGGUGCCCCCUUUCAGUGCUGGAGUCACGCAUAAGCUUCCGCCUGGAAUUACGGCC
rnacentral:rRNA from 1 species